UGGAGGAGCCCAGGCCCAGCUGGGAGCUCUUUGGGGAGCAGAGCACUUGGGGUCCCCUGCACCAUGGCCUGGCCUCUUGUCUGCCUCUUCCUGCUCACUGUCUGCUCAGGUUCCUUCUCCCAGCUUGUGGUGACUCAGCCUCCCUCUGCCUCUGCAUCCCUGGGAGCCACAGCCAAACUCUCCUGCACCCUGAGCGGUGGGGACAGCAGCAGGGAUAUUUAUUGGCACCAGCAGAGACCAGGGAAGGCCCCUCGGUACAUCAUGUAUGUCGGCAGUGGUGGAAGUGCAGGCAGGGGCGAUGGGAUCCCUGAUCGCUUCUCUGGCUCAGGCUCUGGGGCCACCAGAUACUUGUCCAUCAGCAACAUCCAGCCUGAGGAUGAGGCCGAUUACUACUGUCAGUCCUAUUAUUACGAUGGUAGUGUUUAUUAUCACACAGUGACACAUUCAGUGGGGAAGUGAGACAAAAACCUCCCCUGCCAGCCCAGGCCCACG